CAUGGGUAUGGUGAUACAGGCCUGUAAUCCCUGUACCUGGGGAGGCUCAGACUGGCAGAUCUUUUGAGCUUUGAAAGUUCUGAACUUCAGUGGGCUAAGCUGACUGGGUUUAAGUAGUAAGUCUGGCAUUAAAAGGGUGAGCUCCCAGGAUCAAGGGCCACUAGAUUGUCUGAGGAGGGGUGAACCAACACAAGUUGGAAGCAAAGCAGGUCAAGCUCCCAAGUAAAAUAGAGGGGCCAGUGAAUAGCCCCUGUAUGUUCAGCCUGCAAGAAAGGGAAACCCAGCUUUU
rnacentral:SRP_RNA from 1 species